rnacentral:rRNA from 1 species
CCCGUUCCCAUCCCGAACACGGCCGUGACCCUGCUCAGCGCCGAUGGUACUGCCCUCAGGGCGGAAGCGUAGGUCCCCUCCUGCU